rnacentral:rRNA from 1 species
UACGUAGGGGGCAAGCGUUGUCCGGAAUUAUUGGGCGUAAAGAGCGUGUAGGCGGUCCGGUAAGUCGGCUGUGAAAGUCCAGGGCUCAACCCUGGGAUGCCGGUCGAUACUGCCGGACUAGAGUUCGGAAGAGGCGAGUGGAAUUCCCGGUGUAGCGGUGAAAUGCGCAGAUAUCAGGAAGAACACCCGUGGCGAAGGCGGCUCUCUGGGACGGUACUGACGCUGAGACGCGAAAGCGUGGGGAGCGAACAGG